UGCUGUAAGCAGCGACCUUUGGAGGGGUUGUGGGUUUCUUCCCAACCUUCACUGCUCUCGUUGUUUAUGGAUGGAAAAGGUUAAUGGUUAAAUUGCAGCUCUGCAGCUGCGGGAAGGCGGACGUGGGGAUGCCACUUGAACGGAUUUUUCAUUUUAAAAAUGGUCAGAGAGGCUCAGCUUGCUUUAAAUGAGAAUAAGUGUUAAAAAAAUCCUCCUCUCUCGAUGCUAAUUUCAUUGCUUUGGUCAGUGCAUCUCCAGGAAGCCUGGCUUCUCCGGGCAUUGCUGAGCCGACUGUGCAGGCUGUACUUGGAUGAUGACAUUACAGCUCAGAUGUUUAUUGUGCUGCUUUUGGAUUCCCGAGGAUAGGGAGUUUUAAAGUAAUAAUCUUUCUACAUCCUUCUUUUUAAUGCCACAAUGCCUAAGCAUAAACUGACCUAGAACUGAAACCUGGAGGCUGUGUUUUGCAGUGCAAUCUUGUAAAGUCAGAUUUCCUUUUUGUCUGUUCCUUGGAGGAACAUUUUAAGCAGAUGUGACACAGACGUGACCUGUGACCACGGAAAGAUUUUAAUCCAGUUUUGCAGUCGUGAUGCCUUGGUUAAACAGUGAUUGAAUCUUUUUGAGCUGUUGAGGAUUAGCACUGGGCAGAAUAAUGCCAAAAUAAUUAUUUGCACCAGAUGCAGCGUCGUCCUUCCAGUUGUAGCUCUGUUAUCAUGUAACCCAUCUGACUUAUUUUUAUUCCGCUGUUAUUUCACCUGCUGCGGGAGCACUCACACGUCUGGCAUCAAUGCUUUGUAUUUACCAGGGUACUGGCGUGAGCCUGGGUUACAGAUUUGUAAAGUAAAACGAUCUGCAGCUAACCAGAUUACGUUUUACUUCGCAUGUUAAUCUCCUCCUGCUGCUUGUUUCAGACCAGCCGGCUUCAGCCCAAGUCAGCACCCAGCGCUGUGCCCUCGCUGCUGGCUGGGGAUAGCUGCGCACCGAGCGGUCUGGCAGUGAUUGCUUGCACAAUUGGGUCACUAUGCUGUCUGAGGGGAUGUUGCUUAAGCCUCAACUUUUGAAAGAAUGACCAUUUCCAGAGCAGCUCAUCCUGUGUCUCAGUAUUUGGCCUAUCAACUGUGUUUUGUUUUUUUUUUUUCCUUUCGGGCAUAGGGCCUAGGAUGUGCUCAGAUAGAAAUGUGUUUACUGCUUCCCAGGGUUUCUGUUUGUCAUGCUGCAAAUGCAAGCUGGUGCUGUCCCUUUAAAUAGCACAUCCAGCCUCAGGGCAAAGCCCAGCUCCUGCUCUGGCAGAGCCAUUGCAAAAGGGAGACUCUGCUGGAGCUGCGGAGUGGUGGGUGAAGAGAGAGGGACAGGGGGAUGGGUGCUGCUCACAGAAGGACCUGAGUCACGCAGGUUUGGAAGGCUGAGGACUUUGUGUUGAACCUGUGGCUUGGAGGCAAUUUUCCUCCUUCAGUUAAGCAAGGGGAAGAAACCCACUGAAAUACAGCUCUGUAUCUUGUUAGUCUGGAAGGCUGCUGAAUGGUCUAAAUAAAAAUCUGAUAAGAUCACCCGUGGCAUAGGGCAGCACCAUGCAGCACACACAUGGGAGUGAUGCUGAGCCCAGAGCCAGGGCUCGGUCCCCAGCAGCCACAGCUGAGCCCUGGGUCUGACAUCCACGGGGACAGCUCUGUGCUGCUGGUUCCUGUCUGCCACAUGAUGCCAAACCCACAGCCAGCAGAACCAGAGGCAGCCUGGGGGCUGCUCUGGGCUCUGCCCCAGGGAAGCAGAGACCGGGGACGGACAGAGUGGUGUGGACCCAUCCUUGAGCGGAUGGCCUGACUCACCAAUAAGGCAGCCCAAGAAAUCCUCUUGAGACUGUUUCUGCAGUGCUAGGGGUAGCUCUUGAUUUUUUUAUUUGUCUUCUUUUUUUUUUUUUUUUUUGUGAUUAAGCAAGAAGAAAUCUUGAAAUGGUAAAGGAUUUUUACCAAGUCUUAAAAAUGAAAUGAGUCUCCAUUCUGAGACUCGGCAUGGAUGGCAUCAGCCAGGAGAGGAGAAAUUUUCCAGGAGUGGAAAUGGGGUUCGUAAUAAAAGUUUCAACACCAACCUCAGUACAUGAGCAAUUGCUGCUGUUGGCACCAGGAAAAUCAGGAGGCAUUACAAUAAAGAGACUUACUGCAAACCUUUCUGGAGAUGUGCAGCUAUGCCCGCUCCACUGUCAGCACUGGAGCUGCAUCUAUGGGAAUAGUUUGGCUGCUGGAUUAUUCCUUCCUUCGUCUCGUGGCAUUGCUGUACUCUGUUGCUGCUGCCUUAUGUUGAUCUUUUAAGCCAACUGCUCUUACAGCAUCUCAGGUCAAGUGAGCUGUCCUUGGAAGACACCAAGGGCACCUUGUCCUUUGUGUUGCUGCUACUGGAAAUGUCUGUGGCCCUUCCAUUGACUUCCUGCAUCCCAGUUUUGUAGAUAAAAGCUUUCCUUUUCAACCCAAAGGUGAUACAAAUUCUUUGCAAUUCAUUGCUGCUGACAGGUUUUUUUUUUUUUUUUUUGGAGUCUGGAAGAGUGUGAAAUGGCAAGAGGUUUUGCUCAGAGAGACGUUGCUUUGCAGCUGAGCUUUUUGGGCACCCAGCAUCUCUUUUGGGGCUCCUGUGCAGAAGCUGAUGUUUCAGGUGUCAAUAAGGAAACCUGGGCUGGGUGCUCCCUAUGAACCCCACGGCACCUCCUGCUGCCAUGUCUCAGCUUUCCCAUCUGUAAAAUGGGAGAGCAGUGCCUGCACGGGACGAGAUUUGCAGGGCACUCCGUGGGAGCGUAGGGCUCUGUUCAUUUUUCAUUUUGGGCAGAUGUCUGCCUUGCCUGUGGGAUCUGGGGAAAUGGAACUGUGUAGCUGGAGCUCGGGGUGGCAGGAUGCCUGAUUAGCUCCCAAAUGAAGGGAGGAGACAACAGUCAGGGACAUCGAGAAGCCCUUGUUAAGAGGCUCAGGGGUCACAUGAGCCACUCCAAAUCCUCAGCCUCUCCCUUUUUCCACGAAGCCUUGUAGUUUGGUGACUGAAAAGUCUGAUUGCAAUCAGAAUGAUGGCUCAAUGCUAGGAAGAAAUCGGUCCGCCGUAUACAUCUUACACCUUGAUGCAAGGGAAUUACCCCAUUGUAUUUUACACGUUGCAUCCAAGCUGAGUAGAGAAUUGUUUUUUUGAGGGAUUCCCAAUCUUGCAUGCUAAUGUGAGCACAAAUGCAUGCAAAUCCUUUAUAAUAGAGCGUAACACAGACGUCUGGUGGCCCUGUGCUGCAGACGAGGCUCUGUUCUCACACUGUCUCAGUGACAGGGUUGCUCCUUAAUGCAGCCCAUUUAUUUCCAUCCCAGGAAAAAACAAGCAAGGAACAGAGAUAAGCAGCGCCAGUGGAUGAUAGAGCUGCUUGCCCAGUUCCUUCUGUAUCCAAGAGGAAUUUUAACAUGGCGGCAUUUGCUGCGUGAUGCCCAUGUGCCCAUCCAGUUGAGCUGGAAAUAAGAUCCUCAGCAAGGCAGACAGGGUUUUUGUGGGCAGGAGCAUUGCAUUAACAAGCCCAGGAGUGCAAAUCCCUGCUCAUGUAGCCUGAGAGCUGUUGGCUGGAGGGAUGCAGCAUGAGGCCAGCUUGGCAGGCACUGCUCCUGUUGUCCCAAACCAUUUGCAAAGAACUGUUUUCUUCCUCCCGCUGCUUUGGCUUCAGGCUCUCUCUGCUUGCAGUCCUGCCUUUCCCAGGGUUUUUUCAGCACUUUGACUUACUGUUGGUGCUAUUGAGGUUAUGGGCUCUGGCAAAGGCAGAGGUUGUGCCCCGUUAACUGCUGUAUGAAACAAGAGACAUCCUUGUCCUACAGACCCUGCGGAUCAAUUGGGCUCAUGUCGAACCUCAUGGAGAUGGACCUUGCCUGGAAACAUGCUUCUGCAUCCCAAGCAAGAGGGCCUUGGGAGCCAGAUUUUCCUCUUGAUCUGUUUGGCCUUGCUUCCUUCACAUUCCUUUGUUGGUUUUUUGUUGUUGUUGUUGUUUUUAUGCUGUAGAAGGAGGAGUGCUCAGCUGAGGGCCGCAUGGGAUGGUGGGUCCCACGUGUGCCAGCAGCACCACGUCAAGCAGCCGUUGCAAAAUCACAUCCCUCCAUCUUGUAACUUCAUCACAUGAAUUGGUGACCUUAAGUCGAACAAAUUUUUCAGUCUGUUUUUGAGCCGCUGCUGCUUUGUACCAUGUGCAGUCAAUUCAAGGCGGGCUUCUUUCCAGCUAAAUCUGAAACCAGGAAAUGUUAUUUUCUCCCAGUGUUCUUCCC
rnacentral:lncRNA from 1 species